GUCAAACCCUCUUCUUCAACACCACAACACCUAAGAACCCACAACCUCUCUCUCAUUGGCCAAUUAAAUCCCCCAGUUUACAUUCGCAUCAUUCUCUUUUAUUCAGCAACUAGUGAAAAUUCCUCCAUAAAAUCUCAGCACGUGAAGACGUCCUUCUCAGAGACAUUAACCCACUUCUAUCCUCUAGCCGGACGAAUCAAAAGUAGCUUUUCUAUUGCGGAUGAAGGUGCUUCAUAUAUUCAAGCUUAGGUAGCUGGAAACGUGUCCAUGAUACCGCCCAACACGCGUUGACGCUGUGGCUGCACUCAUUUAGGGGGCUGUGAUGGCUGCAACCGGAGAAGAAUAUGGAGCAAUAAUUCCUAUGGAUUUACAAAGAAGAAUGGAUCCGCCAUUGCCAAAAAAAAUCUAUUGGAAACAUCUCUCAAUUGGCAAUGGUAAAUUGUGAGAAUACUCUAGACUUAGACAACAAUGACUUAGCAGGAAAAAUUCACAAGUCAAUGAGAAAUGUGAACAAUGAGUAUGUGGGAAGAAAAAGGAGAUGUUAAUUUGGUGUAGACAUCCAUUCUACGAGACCCAUUUUGGGUGGGGAAAGCCAUCUGGGUAAGCCCUGGAGCGACCGUUAAUAACAUUGCCACGUUUAUAAAUACAAAGCAUGGCGAGGGAAUAGAAGCGUGGAUAGGAUUGUGCAAGGAAGACAUGGCUUUUUUAUUUAUCAGCAUAUUCCUUUAAUAAUACAUUCUCUAAAAUCAAUCCCCCUU
rnacentral:misc_RNA from 1 species